GCCGUACUUCGGCAAGACAUAUACUAAAAUUGGAACGAUACAGAGAAGAUUAGCAUGGC
rnacentral:snRNA from 2 species